rnacentral:tRNA from 4 species
CGGGAUGUAGCACAGUUUGGUAGCGCGCAUCGUUCGGGACGAUGAGGUCGCAGGUUCGAAUCCUGUCAUCCCGACCA